UACGUAGGGUGCAAGCGUUGUCCGGAAUUAUUGGGCGUAAAGAGCUCGUAGGCGGUUUGUCGCGUCUGCUGUGAAAACUGGAGGCUCAACCUCCAGCCUGCAGUGGGUACGGGCAGACUAGAGUGCGGUAGGGGAGAUUGGAAUUCCUGGUGUAGCGGUGGAAUGCGCAGAUAUCAGGAGGAACACCAAUGGCGAAGGCAGCUCGCUGGGACGGUACUGACGCUGAGGCGCGAAAGCGUGGGGAGCAAACAGG
rnacentral:rRNA from 1 species